AUACUACCGAGGAGUCCCAUAAUAGGACGAAGUAGCCGUCCAGUAU
rnacentral:hammerhead_ribozyme from 1 species